rnacentral:rRNA from 1 species
AAACUUAAAGGAAUUGACGGGACCCGCACAAGCGGUGGAGGAUUGUGGUUUAAUUCGACGCAACGCGAAGAACCUUACCGGGUUUGACAUGCAGGUGAUCGCCGUUGAAAGACGGUUUCCCUCUUCGGAGGCACCUGCACAGGUGCUGCAUGGCUGUCGUCAGCUCGUGUCGCGAGAUGUUGGGUUAAGUCCCGCAACCGAGCGCAACCCUUAUCCCCAGUUGCCAUCAGGUAAAGCUGGGAACUCUGGGGAGACUGCCGGUGAUAAACCGGAGGAAGGCGGGGAUGACGUCAAGUCCUCAUGGCCCUUACAUCCCGGGCUACACACGUGCUACAAUGGCAGGUACAGAGGGCUGCGAAGCCGCGAGGUGGAGCGAAUCCCAGAAAACCUGUCUCAGUCCGGAUUGAAGUCUGCAACUCGACUUCAUGAAGGCGGAAUCGCUAGUAACCGCGAAUCAGCAGGUCGCGGUGAAUACGUUCCCGGGCCUU